CGGAAACGGGUGCUAAUACCGCAUAAUAUCUUCUUCCGCAUGGAAGAGGAUUGAAAGACGGCUCUGCUGUCACUUAUAGAUGACCUUGCGGUGCAUUAGUUAGUUGGUGGGGUAACGGCCUACCAAGACGAUGAUGCAUAGCCGACCUGAGAGGGUGAUCGGCCACAUUGGGACUGAGACACGGCCCAA
rnacentral:rRNA from 1 species